AACGAACGCUGGCGGCAUGCCUAACACAUGCAAGUCGAACGAAGGCUUCGGCCUUAGUGGCGCACGAGUGCGUAACGCGUGGGGAUCUGCCCUUUGCUUCGGAAUAACAGUUAGAAAUGACUGCUAAUACCGGAUGAUGUCGUAAGACCAAAGAUUUAUCGGCAAAGGAUGAACCCGCGUAGGAUUAGCUAGUUGGUGGGGUAAAGGCCUACCAAGGCGACGAUCCUUAGCUGGUCUGAGAGGAUGAUCAGCCACACUGGGACUGAGACACGGCCCAGACUCCUACGGGAGGCAGCAGUGGGGAAUAUUGGACAAUGGGCGAAAGCCUGAUCCAGCAAUGCCGCGUGAGUGAUGAAGGCCUUAGGGUUGUAAAGCUCUUUUACCCGGGAUGAUAAUGACAGUACCGGGAGAAUAAGCUCCGGCUAACUCCGUGCCAGCCGCCGCUGUAAAAC
rnacentral:rRNA from 1 species